UAAUAAAUAGCCUCUUAAUUGGAGGCCAGUGAAUGGCAAGACUAGGGACAUCUGUACCCUGUAUAAAAAAACAACUUUUCAUUUGGGUGAAAAGACCCAAAUAAUGAAGGAAGACGAAAAGACCCCGCGGAACUUUACCUUUUCCAGUCUCCACAUGCUCAGAAACAUAAGAACAAAAGGUUUGAUUGGGGCAAUCUCGGAACCACCCAAACUUCCGACUAAUAACAAAAAGUAUACAAAACUCAAUAAGGACCAAAAAGAAGUUACCCCGGGGAUAACAGCGUAAUCCAACUUGAGAGUACACAUCGAAAGCUGGG
rnacentral:rRNA from 1 species